GGCCCGCACAAGCGGUGGAGCAUGUGGUUUAAUUCGAUGCAACGCGAAGAACCUUACCAGGGUUUGACAUAGUACGAAGUUUUUUGAAAAAAAACCACCUUCGGAACGUACAUACAGGUGGUGCAUGGCUGUCGUCAGCUCGUGUCGUGAGAUGUUGGGUUAAGUCCCGCAACGAGCGUAACCCUUGUUUUUAGUUGCCUUUUAUGGAACUCUAAAAAGACUGCGGUUAUAAACCGGAGGAAGGUGGGGAUGACGUCAAGUCAUCAUGCCCCUUACACUCUGGGCUACACACGUGCUACAUUGGGUAGAACAAUAAGUUGCUAAGUUGCGAAACCAAGCG
rnacentral:rRNA from 1 species